ensembl:ncRNA K02B12.10 ncRNA
GAAGAGUUGAAAUUCAUUGCUCAUGCAAAUCUUAUGCCGUGUGUCUCUGUAUGUAUUUGUAUGUGUGAGUGCCUUCUUUUUCCAACCAUUCUCAUUCUU